GAAUGGUGAAAAUAAUAAUAAACUAACUAGACCCAACUGUUGGAGUCCAAAUCCGAAAUAGUUAGCAGUUUACUGAUAUAUUAAAGGAUAGAGUUCCAAAGUGAUGUUUAUCCUCUUAAAUAAUCACAACCCAGUCUGAUCAAUUUCUCUCUCUCCAGGACUAUAAUAUGUUCUCCAUGCUUUGCAUACUAGUCAUACUGCUAUCACUUUCACUACUCUUGCCUCCAUCUUCAACCACAAACACUCCCGUAAUUGUUAUGGAGAAAUAUAGAAAUCUUGGCCAAGUAAAACCGCCUCCAUGUCCUGCACAUCAUCCUUCUUGUCAUGCACCAAGCGGUAGUGGUCCUCCUCAUAAUCCACCCAGGGGAAAGUACUGUCCUCAUCCAUCACACUGUUACUAGGAAGAAAGAAAGCAUUACCAGGACAACCCAAUUUAAUGGCUAUCAGAUACGAUGACUUGUGAAUUUCUGUUGUAAUUUUUUUUUUCAAUCCUGCUUAAAUAUAAUGUUACAUAUAUUGUAAUAUUUACUUAUGAGCUGUAAAGCUUCCAACCUUAGUAUUUAUUUAUAUGCUUUUUUUUUUUC